AGUGAACGCUGGCGGCAGGCCUAACACAUGCAAGUCGAACGGCAGCACAGGAGAGCUUGCUCUCUGGGUGGCGAGUGGCGGACGGGUGAGGAAUGCGUCGGAAUCUGCCUAUUUGUGGGGGAUAACGUAGGGAAACUUACGCUAAUACCGCAUACGACCUACGGGUGAAAGUGGGGGACCGCAAGGCCUCACGCAGAUAGAUGAGCCGACGCCGGAUUAGCUAGUUGGCGGGGUAAAGGCCCACCAAGGCGACGAUCCGUAGCUGGUCUGAGAGGAUGAUCAGCCACACUGGAACUGAGACACGGUCCAGACUCCUACGGGAGGCAGCAGUGGGGAAUAUUGGACAAUGGGCGCAAGCCUGAUCCAGCCAUGCCGCGUGUGUGAAGAAGGCCUUCGGGUUGUAAAGCACUUUUGUCCGGAAAGAAAAGCAUUCGGCUAAUAACCGGGUGUUAUGACGGUACCGGAAGAAUAAGCACCGGCUAACUUCGUGCCAGCAGCCGCAGUAACAC
rnacentral:rRNA from 1 species